rnacentral:rRNA from 1 species
GACGAAGGGGGCUAGCGUUGUUCGGAAUUACUGGGCGUAAAGCGCGCGUAGGCGGUCUUUCAAGUCAGGAGUGAAAGCCCCGGGCUCAACCCGGGAAUAGCUCUUGAUACUGUUGGACUUGAGUCCGGGAGAGGAUAGUGGAAUUCCCAGUGUAGAGGUGAAAUUCGUAGAUAUUGGGAAGAACACCAGUGGCGAAGGCGGCUAUCUGGACCGGUACUGACGCUGAGGCGCGAAAGCGUGGGGAGCAAAGCAGG